UUUUAUGAUGAUUUAAAAUAUUAUCACGACGGUCUACAUAGCAAUCGCUUUGAUGAAAUGGCCAGUGACAUGGCAAGAUUUCUGAUA
rnacentral:snoRNA from 1 species